rnacentral:rRNA from 1 species
CCAAUAGCGUAUAUUAAAGUUGUUGCAGUUAAAAAGCUCGUAGUUGAAUUUCGGGAUUAGUGCGCUGGUCGUGCCUUCGGUACGUACUGGUGUUACUGAUUCCUACCUUCUGACGAACCGUCAUGUCAUUAAUUUGAUGUGGCGGGGAAUCAGGACUGUUACUUUGAAAAAAUUAGAGUGUUUAAAGCAGGCUCGCGCUUGAAUACAUUAGCAUGGAAUAAUGAAAUAGGACGUUCGAUCCUAUUUUGUUGGUUUCUAGGAUUGACGUAAUGAUUAAUAGGGAUAGUUGGGGGCAUUAGUAUUCAAUUGUCAGAGGUGAAAUUCUUGGAUUUAUUGAAGACUAACUACUGCGAAAGCAUUUGCCAAGGAUGUUUUCAUUAAUCAAGAACGAAAGUUAGGGGAUCGAAGACGAUCAGAUACCGUCGUAGUCUUAACCAUAAACUAUGCCGACUAGGGAUCGGAUGAUGUUAUUUUUAAUGACUCAUUCGGCGCCUUACG